UCAGGCGGUUAUUGCGGUGGGGUCCCACCUCUUCCCAUUCCGAACAGAGAAGUUAAGCCCACUUGCGCCGAUGGUACUGCAAU
rnacentral:rRNA from 1 species